GACGAACGCUGGCGGCGUGCUUAACACAUGCAAGUCGAACGGAAAGGCCCUGCUUGCAGGGUACUCGAGUGGCGAACGGGUGAGUAACACGUGGGUGAUCUGCCCUGCACUUCAGGAUAAGCCUUGGAAACUGGGUCUAAUACCGGAUAGGAGCCAUUUUUAGUGUGAUGGUUGGAAAGUUUUUUUGGUGUAGGAUGAGCUCGCGGCCUAUCAGCUUGUUGGUGGGGUAAUGGCCUACCAAGGCGGCGACGGGUAGCCGGCCUGAGAGGGUGGACGGCCACAUUGGGACUGAGAUACGGCCCAGACUCCUACGGGAGGCAGAAGUGGGGAAUAUUGCACAAUGGGCGCAAGCCUGAUGCAGCGACGCCGCGUGGGGGAUGACGGCCUUCGGGUUGUAAACUCCUUUCGCUAGGGACGAAGCUUUUUGUGACGGUACCUAGAUAAGAAGCACCGGCUAACUACGUG
rnacentral:rRNA from 1 species